UGCGCAGGCGGGGAUGUAAGUCAGUGGUGAAAUACUGCCGCUCAACGGUAGAACGGCCAUUGAUACUGCGUCUCUUGAGUAUGGUUGAGGUAGGCGGAAUGUGUUGUGUAGCGGUGAAAUGCAUAGAUAUGACACAGAACGCCAAUUGCGAAGGCAGCUUACUAAGCCAUUACUGACGCUGAGGCACGAAAGCGUGGGGAGCGAACAGGAUUAGAUACCCUGGUAGUCC
rnacentral:rRNA from 1 species